rnacentral:tRNA from 2 species
UGAUAGCUCAGUUGGUAGAGCAAAGGACUGAAAAUCCUUGUGUCACUGGUUCGAUUCCAGUUCA